ACGUCUGUUGGAUGCAUAUAUUUUGAAGAGAGGGAAAAAAGGAUUCUUGAAUAAGACUUCGACAUGGCAUAUAAUCUAAAACUGUUCAUGAUUUUAUUGGGUAUUGGACAGCACCUAUAUUAACAAGGGUCAAGCCUGAAAUUAUAUACUCAAGUCUAAAGGAGUAAGACUCUGUGUGAACCAAAAAGUAGGGUCAACGUUUUGAACGCCCACUGCCCACCCUGCCGGCUACCUGCUCAUCCUCAAGGUUCAACACCAAGUGCCACGUUGACUCACUUAGCUUUCCUGUUAACAGUCAGUUUUGCUGUCCCACAAAGGAGAGCAAUUUAAACUCUACCACCACCUGAGGCCUGCACUCUGCUCCCCCUUCAUCAGUUUUUGUAUUAAUGGAAUUGCUUUGAUGUCGUGUUUUGGAGCCCUGUUCCAUUUAAAUUGUUGAUUAAAAAGAAAAUGACAUUUAGUAAAGAAAAAGCCAAUGUGACCUUUCCACGGUGGCUUGCCUUAAAAGAAUUUUUUCCAGAUAGUGAGGUUACAACAUCACCGUGCUGAUAUGGAAAUGAUUUUUUAAUAUUCAAUUCAUUCAGCCUAAGUUCUUCUCCAUUUGUAUAGAGGCCCUGGAUUCAGA